UACGGAGGGGGCAAGCGGUGUUCGGAAUUACUGGGCGUAAAGGGCGCGUAGGCGGACCUUCAAGUCAGGGGUGAAAGGCCUGGGCUCAACCUGGGAACUGCCUUUGAAACUGGAGGUCUUGAGUCCGGGAGAGGAUGGCGGAAUUCCCAGUGUAGAGGUGAAAUUCGUAGAUAUUGGGAAGAACACCGGGGGCGAAGCCGGCCAUCUGGUCCGGCACUGACGCUGAGGCGCGAAAGGGUCGCGAGGUAACAGG
rnacentral:rRNA from 1 species